GAUGAACGCUAGCGGCAGGCUUAAUACAUGCAAGUCGAACGGUAACAGGUCUUCGGAUGCUGACGAGUGGCGCACGGGUGAGUAACGCGUACAAAAUCUACCUUUAACUGGGGGAAAGUCGCUGGAAACGGCGAAUAAUCCCGCAUAACGACCCCGAUGUCGCAUGGCUAUUGUAGGUAAAAGGCUUCGGCUAGGUAAAAGAUGAUUGUGCGUUCCAUUAGCUAGAUGGUGAGGUAACGGCUCACCAUGGCGACGAUGGGUUAGGGGGCGUGAGAGCGUGACUCCCCCACGACGGGUACUGAGACACGGACCCGACUCC
rnacentral:rRNA from 1 species